UACGGGGGGGGGCAAGCGUUGUUCGGACUUACUGGGCGUAAAGGGCUCGUAGGCGGCCAACUAAGUCAGACGUGAAAUCCCUCGGCUUAACCGGGGAACUGCGUCUGAUACUGGAUGGCUUGAGUUUGGGAGAGGGAUGCGGAAUUCCAGGUGUAGCGGUGAAAUGCGUAGAUAUCUGGAGGAACACCGGUGGCGAAGGCGGCAUCCUGGACCAAUACUGACGCUGAGGAGCGAAAGCCAGGGGAGCAAACGGG
rnacentral:rRNA from 1 species